rnacentral:snRNA from 1 species
GGAUGUGAGGGUGAUCCUGCUGCAACAUUUGUCACCCCUGUGAUCAUCAGGGUUGGUUGAUCCGGCUGAUCUGACUGGCUAGGCGGCUUUCCCCUUCUUCCCCCACAGCUCAAUGUGAAUCCCUCCAGAAGCUGCACACUGGGUAGAAUAGGACAACCUUCCCCGUAUAAAGGAGGACAUGUCUUAGGUCAAGAAUAGCUGUGCUUCCCUGCUAGAACCUCCAAACAAUCUCUCCAGUUAACUGAUAUUCUAUGAGGAGCUAUAAGCAACUAGUAACU